UGGAUGGUGCAAUAGAAGUUUAAAGAAUUUGGGUGAUGAAAUAGAAGUUUCAGGAAUGCGUCACAGGACGUGACAGUACAGAAUUUUUUAAAAUUGUUACUGAAAACAUUAACUGUUUACAUUGGUGUUUUAGUAAUAUAUUUAAUUUUAAUUAUUAGAAUGUAUCUUAAAAGAAAGAGGAAGAAAAUAUGCAGCAUCAGAGGGUGCAUUAACGAAAACAGCAGGAUGUUCUUCUUCCCCCAAGAGAGAAAGGAUAAGAAGAGAAUGGCACAGUGUGUGGAAGUAUGUGACAACCCAAAGUCGGUGCUUCCACCUGAAAACUGAAAUUCCGGGUGAUCUGUAGCAGCUACUUUAAAGAAAAAUACUUCAUGAGGAAAAGAUUAACAACAUCAGCAGUUCCAACACUGAACUUAUUUGAGACUGUAAUAAAUAUUGCAUGUCAGAGGCUGCCUCUAUUAAAAUAGAGCAACAAGACACCUGGAUACAAAUGAAAAGAAGAAGAAGAUUUGGAAGGAGAAAAAAGGGACUUUCUGUAAACAGGUACAAAAAGAAAUGCUAAAUGUGGAAAAGAACUCCAAUGCCAUAAAUGUACCCUUCGUCAUAUUGCCAGAACUAUGCAACCGUAGGAUUGAAAAUACAAAACAGGUAACAGACUGUAUUCAUCGCCUGUGUUAUAAACAUGCCCUACUCAUCAAAUUGCUAGGACCUUUUAACCGUAGGAACAAGAACAUCAAGCAGGUAAAGCAGCGUACUCGCCAUCCUAUGGUAUAAACGACCCGCUCCACGAACCGUGCGGCCAGUAAACAAAUGAUAAUAACUCAUAAGGUCGCAAAAAGUCGCAGCUAAAUGAAGCAGAUACUUGUUCAGUAAUCUUCAAGGUUUCAUUUAAAAAAAAAAUUACCGGUCGAUCUUGGUCGAUGGACAACUUUUUCAUUAAUCAAGUAGAAAAAUGUAUAGGUCUUGUAUUCUUAUCUAUCGUAUCUUUAAUAAUUAAGAAAACGUAAUAACACUGGGAUGUAUAUUAACUAAGAACAUGCUAGUUUACAUCAAUACUGAUAAACUAGCAUCAUAGCCCGAUAAUAAAUCACUAAGCUACUUUUAAUUAUGGUCGAAAAAACUGACGUUACAAAAAUGCCAACUUUGAACUCAUAUAUCUCUAACAGAAUUACAUAUCAAAGAUUGGCAAUAGGGGGGAAAUAUGCUCUGAUAAUUCAUAAAUGAAAUACGCUACAAAGAUUUUUCAAAUUCGCAAAAAAAAUUUUUUCACUUUUGGCCACGAAUUCGGGCAAAUUCGGCACUGUGCGCCGCCUGGAUUUUCUGCGCGAAACUAAUUUUAGUUACAACAUUAAGGGGGUAGACAUGGGUAAUAGUAGCGCGGUGACUUUACCGGCAAAAAUGGGCCUAAACAUGGGUUUACGCGCUUCCGUUAUUCGUCCUUGUAUGACAACAUUUAGGGCUG